rnacentral:tRNA from 1 species
GGAGAGAUGCUCGAGUGGCUGAAGAGGCACGCCUGGAAAGCGUGUAAACGUCAAAAGCGUUUCCCGGGUUCGAAUCCCGGUCUCUCCGCAA